CCCCCCCCUCGCCCCUGCUCUAGUGAUCAACUGGUGCAGCAGGGAGCCCUUUUUUUCCCCCCUUUUUUUGUGUCGACCCGAGGGAAUGAAAGAGUGGG